GGAAAAGAAAUCAACCGAGAUUCCCCCAGUAGCGGCGAGCGAACGGGGAGGAGCCCAGAGCCUGAAUCAGUGUGUGUGUUAGUGGAAGCGUCUGGAAAGGCGCGCGAUACAGGGUGACAGCCCCGUACACAAAAAUACACAUAUUGUGAGCUCGAUGAGUAGGGCGGGACACGUGGUAUCCUGUCUGAAUAUGGGGGGACCAUCCUCCAAGGCUAAAUACUCCUGACUGACCGAUAGUGAACCAGUACCGUGAGGGAAAGGCGAAAAGAACCCCGGCGAGGGGAGUGAAAAAGAACCUGAAACCGUGUACGUACAAGCAGUGGGAGCACGCUUAGGCGUGUGACUGCGUACCUUUUGUAUAAUGGGUCAGCGACUUAUAUUCUGUAGCAAGGUUAACCGAAUAGGGGAGCCGAAGGGAAACCGAGUCUUAACUGGGCGUUAAGUUGCAGGGUAUAGACCCGAAACCCGGUGAUCUAGCCAUGGGCAGGUUGAAGGUUGGGUAACACUAACUGGAGGACCGAACCGACUAAUGUUGAAAAAUUAGCGGAUGACUUGUGGCUGGGGGUGAAAGGCCAAUCAAACCGGGAGAUAGCUGGUUCUCCCCGAAAGCUAUUUAGGUAGCGCCUCGUGAAUUCAUCUCCGGGGGUAGAGCACUGUUUCGGCAAGGGGGUCAUCCCGACUUACCAACCCGAUGCAAACUGCGAAUACCGGAGAAUGUUAUCACGGGAGACACACGGCGGGUGCUAACGUCCGUCGUGAAGAGGGAAACAACCCAGACCGCCAGCUAAGGUCCCAAAGUCAUGGUUAAGUGGGAAACGAUGUGGGAAGGCCCAGACAGCCAGGAUGUUGGCUUAGAAGCAGCCAUCAUUUAAAGAAAGCGUAAUAGCUCACUGGUCGAGUCGGCCUGCGCGGAAGAUGUAACGGGGCUAAACCAU
rnacentral:rRNA from 1 species